ensembl:lncRNA
GUUUACGUGCCCUAACCACUUCCAAGAACAAGGUCACUGAAAGGGUCGUGACCAAGAGCCGGGAGGUGGCUUGGAAACCAGGUCACAUCUCCAGCAGAUGUGGAGCAGGGCGAUUGGGUGGGUAAUGUUCCAGCUAUGUGGGUGGUCAAGGUCCACACCCGGACACAGCUCCUGGGUCUGCUUUCUGUGGUGGCCAAAACAUGACCUUACGUGACCACUUUGCCACCUGGUGCUGGCAGGAGCCCUACCCUCUCCAAAAUCUGGCCCUGGUCCCCAAGGUUCAGUGCCCAGAAGUACCCUGUGGCUCACACACUAACUCAGCAUCCACACACGGGGGAUGGAGCACAACCACCUGAUGUCCAGAAGACAAAUGAGGUGGUCACAGAUUGGGAUGGGACGGUAGGACCUGAAGGAAGUGUGCCCUUCUCUCUACCGACUGUGGAGCGCAAUCCCUCUGAGUUCCCUGCGCCUGAAAUGAACUGCACCAUGCUUAGGUAAAAUGGCUGCUGCCCUCUCUGCUGCUCUAACUAAAUCAGGUCAAAAGUGUGUUUUAAGUGAAAAUGGUGGGGGGGGUUCGUGCCUGUAGGGCACGAACAAGCCCUCGGGCAUUUCUGACCAUACCGUUCUUACUGCAGCCUAUCCUCCAAUGCUUUAAUGCAAAAUAAGGCACUUAAAAUGGAUAGUCAUACCCGCAGGACCAUCACUCUCAAUCGUGAACCUUUCAUGAACCCAGGAAAAAAAAUCAAUGAGGGGGAUUAAAAAAAAAAAAACCAACCACCAAGAAAAUCAUAUUUCACCUCCUCCGUGGCAGCAGAUCUGCAGAGAAGUUGUAGGGUUGUUUGCCUCUGGGCUGGGCUGGGCAAAAAAAAUACAGUGAUGUAGGCUUCCCUGUAGGGGAUUAGGUUUCACUUUAAAAUUUAAACAAACACAGAAAUCUUAGCAUAAGCUUCUAGGAGAUUAAGCAUUCUGGCACGAACCUAGGCAUAAGGAGCAGAAGGCUGGGACUCAGGAGACAUCAGGAUUACUGUCUCCUCCACCACUAUGCAACCUGUUGUGCGAUCAUCUCCUGCUUCGUUCAAGCCAGAUCUUCAAGGCUGACUUCUUCCUUCUGGUUUCGGUGGGAGUAAGAGCUUAAAUGCCUCGAGAAGGUCCACUUGCUAUCUGCUCAUCGCAGAAGUGUUGCAAGAGCUGUGAGUGAUGCAGGAAAGAAUGGUGACCAUGGAAUGCUUAUAAAAUUGGCAAAGGCGGGAAGUCAAACUGAGUCAAGUGAUCCCCAUUCCUUAAAAUGGCCCACCACCCCAGCAGACCUCAGUCCAGACCAACAGUGGACCUCAGAAUGGAAUAACUGCUGUGCUGCAUUUCCCAGCUGUGACUCAGGCGCUGUGGGAUGUUUCGCGUUGCUUCCCGACAUGCAGAGAUGCUCACCUUUCCCGUGAGGAUGCUGCACGUAGACUUUUCCUGCUUUGCGGAAGCGUAGUUGUAUCUGAACGCUGACUUAUUUCUUUGUGACUAAUGAGCCUGCAUGAAAGCAUUGGAUAGUCUCGAAUGGGCAGGUGUAUUAUACUCCGUGUUAAGAAAUUUGUUUUGUUCAGCUGUAUGUCAAACGUGAUUUGUGGCUGGGCUGUGGAAUCAAUCCAAAAAGAUAAAUUUGCUUACCAAAGGUUGCUGUCAAGCUCUACCGUGCUGAAGCUCCAGCUUACAGAAGGCAGCGUCUUCCAACAAAAGGGUUUCAGCCAAAUAAAUGGAGCUUAGAGAAAAUGCAAUGUUACAGCUGAAGUACCGGGAUAAUUGAGCCUGUAACAUCUGCUGAAAUGUAGUGACACCAAAAAUAAACACUUCUGCCCAUGUUGCUAUUCCCUGGUACAGCAGUGUAUAAACAUGUGAUGCGACCCCAGCACAUCAGGGAAUGUGGGAACAGACUGGUGUUGCCAUCAUAAGUACCCUUCCCCUGUCAAGGAAGGAGCUUUCCGAGCACAGCUGUAAUAAGGACAUUGCUUGGGUUGCUUUCCAGCAGCUUUUAUGAGAAGGGAAAAGGGAUCAUGUGCUUAAUUAGCCCCUUUAGUAAGAGGUGUUCUUGUGUAUGUUUUGCAGCUGGAACAAAGGGCCAGGGUGAGGGUGUUUGCUUGAUUUUUCCCUUAAAGAGAGAAAAUGUAUGAAAUCGUUCCUGGAUGGAAAAUAGGGAAAAAAAAUAGCAAAAAUCUUUUGUCUGUUAUAAGGACUAAUUUUCCUAGGAAAAUGCUCAAGAAUGAGAUUUUCCUUUUGUUGCAAAUUACUGUUGAGUUUGAUUAAACAGA